AGGAGCCGUAUGAGGUAAAAAUCUCAUGUACGGUUCUGUAGUAGAGAUGGAAUUGAGAAAGAACCAUCAACUAUAAC
rfam:Cajanus cajan Scaffold000124_3, whole genome shotgun sequence.